rnacentral:lncRNA from 1 species
GGAACAUGUAAAAGUUCGUCCAGGUCUUUAAAGCUUUUGUUUGUUGACUGGUGGAGCGUGGGUAAGUAAAGGAGGAGAGCGAGACAAUUAGCGCCGGAAGUGAAGAAGUAAUAAGUCGGGAUUCCAAGGUUGGUAGCAACAGAGAGGGCACAGGUGCAAAAGAAGUCGAUGAUGAAUGCAGAGAUUCCAGCUGUCAAGGAGAUGGAGUGCAGAGCUUGGUGAACAUGAGGGUUGCUGAGUCGAAGGAGCUCGAAGUGGAGAGCUUCCAAGGAGGGGUAAGAGUCAGGGUCAAGAGGCGGAGAGGGCAGGUGGUGGAAAGUGAUGGAAGGGGUGGUGGCAGAAAUGCGAUUCAUGUAAGCAGCAGUGGAGGCUGCGGUGUUGUAUGGCGGGUUCACAACGAGAAUAGUAACAGCCAAUCCAGGGUGGUGGUUGAGAGUGAACUUACCCAACUCCACCAUGGAAACCAGGUGACCCAUGCCCGGAGAUGGAUACAGAACUAUUGUAGGAUUGCUCCCCAUCUCUCUCUCUCUCUAUGUGUUCGUGCACCCAAUUUCCACAAAAACUACGCGACUCUUUGAGCCAAUUGAGAGCCUCAAAUUUCCAAGUUCCAAAUAAAUAGAGAGCAACUCCCUUCUAUUUUCCAUAGCCAAUAAAUGCAAUCAACUGACUGUUCUUUGUCAAGUCCCCGUAGGCAACAUCAACUUGUCUUUGAGCGAAAGUCGAGUCACCGUUUCUCUCAUGUACAUCGAAAACGUCGUACAUCGCCCGGGAGGGUCUUUUAGCAAAAGUCCAGUCAACGAAAAUUCUACGAUUGGUAUAGUGGUUUGUACCAAUGCAUUGGUAAAGUGGUUUGAUGUGGUAGGAGCCAGACACGUUAGGAAAAGCAAAAUUCAAGGUUGUUUUAGGUGUGGGUUAAGGCUACCGGAACUUAAAUGAGUGUUGUGAUGGUGGGUUCCACAUUGAAAUGACCCAAGACAAUUUGUCAGUCACAUGGGUUCACCCACGUUAACCCAUGUGAAAAGACCCAAGACAUUAUUAAUAUUGUUUUCUAAUUUAUAUACAAUAGACAUAAUGAAGAAAAUGUAAAGUUAGAUACAUAACUGAAAAGAAAUUAGAAAAAAUAAAUAAUAUAUGUAUGUACAGAAUUAGACAAAUUUUGAUUCAUUUAAUUACAUAAAUUGACAAAAGAGUAGAUAAUUUAAAUAUUUUGGAAGAAAUUUUGGAAUAAUAUAUACAAUUAAUUAAACAGAUCAUAGGAAUUAAUAAUUGUAAAGGAAUAAAUGAAUGGUUAAUUAAUUAGUUGAGAUGGAAUAUUUGUAGGAGAAGUAAUAUGUUGUUUUAUUAUAUGAGAAGUAAUUAAUAUGAUUCUUUUAUUAUAUUUGCGGGUAGAACAUAAAGAAAUGUUUAAAAAAUGCAUUUGUAAUGGUAUUAGUCCAAAUUAAUGAGAAUGAAUUGAUGACAUAAUAACCGGAGUGCAAAUAGGUGAAAUUUAAUUAGACCAUACUUGUCACUUUUAAAAUUUCAACAUUAUCAUCAUAAUCACCUUAAUUAUACUUUUAUCAUUUGAAUAACAUAUUGUCUAUAUAUUGUCAUCCAAUAGCAUAACUAACUUUCAUCGAUAAUCAACCAUAAACAUUAUAAUUACCAAAUUCAUUAAAAUAAUAUUAAAAAAGCUUUUAAAGAUCAAAGUUUUUUUGUUUAUUAAAAUUUUAUGCCAAUUUCUUCCAUAUAAAAAGUGAUUGUUUUAAAUUGCACAUAGAUUGAGUGUGCUCUUUAUCACUAGUAAUACUAAUGGCAUUUGUCCUAAUGUAUACAUGCUUGAAGUAAAAUGUUCGUAUUGAUUAGACUAUGUAGUGAUAUAGUUAAGAAUAUUUUUAAUUGGUAUAAAUACAAAAAUAUAACUCCUCAUUGUCUAUUCUAAAAAUAUGACAACAAACAAUCUUCACAUUAAAAGUAUUCCAUAUAUUUUCAUGGAUAAUAUAAUACAAGAUGACAUGCCCAAAAUUUACUAAUGAAUGAAUAAUUUUCUUUCAAAUAAUAUAAAAAACUUUUUACAGUUGGUACCCCAAACUUGAACAUAUUUUUAGGCAAAAAGAGAUAAAAAUUUAUGAUUAAGUGACAAAAUUUAAAUCAAUAUAUGACAUAUAUCCAAAAUUUUGGAAGAAAUACAGUUCUUGGUUAUAAUACUUUGCAUGCAUGUAGGACUGAUCAUUAAUGCUUGGAUCAAAACAAAUUUGGUCCCCAAAGUUUCAAAUCUUAAGCAUAUUUAGGAUAAUUGACGAAAAAAUGAUGAUUAAAGAUCAAAGUCAAUUUGCCACUACUCAAUAGUUUUGGCUUUGCAUUUUUUAUAGCAAUGUUUCGAAUUUGGAUCAUCAUUGGUAUCUUAGAUUUUAAAUAAUGAUAUUAACGGUUUCAAAGGAAAAAAAUGUAAAUUAGAUUGAAAUUAUGUUGAAAAUGUGCAAAAGUUCGGGAAACUUCUUUCUUUUAUUUUUUUUAUUUUGUGUAUUCAUCCCACUUGUUUCUCAUAGACUUUUACUCUUGGAUAACUGGUCUCAAAUGUAGCAUAAUAUAUGUAUGUAUGGUUUUGUCAGUUGUUGUCUUUUUGUUAUUUCGUAACAAUGAUCAAUUAGUGGAUAUAGUUUUGAACUAUUGUUUUUGUAAUCGAGGAAAAAAUUGAAAUGUGGAAUAAAAUUGCUUAUGCAGUAUUGUUUGUAACUAGUUUAGAUCGAAAGAAAGAACAGUUUGAUUGUAGGCAAGAAAAAAUCAAAACAUGUAAAAGAAUAUGCUUUUAGAUUAUAAUUUGUAAUUUUUUUGAAGAGAGAAAUAAAGAGUUGUUUCUAUAUAUGUUGUACUUUUGUAAAUGAAUGGGAACUCUCUUCAUGAACCAAGAAUCAUAAAAAAGGAUGUAAUUACUUUAGUAUAUGACAUAAAAUGGGUAAGACCAAUUUAAAAUAUUUGUUAAUAUUGUUUUCUAAAUUAUGAACAAUAGAGUGGUAGAAUUGUAAGUAUAGAAAAAAUAAGAAAUAUUGUUUUUAGAUUCAUUGUGUAGUUGUAGAAAGUAGAAAGAAAGAAACCGAUUCGUAGAAGCAAGAUAUUGUAUAAGGUAAAUAUUAGAUGACUUGAGUCGAUUUGAGCACGAUUAUUUAAUGAAUGUUUGUAUGGGUUGGAUAAGAAAAUGCUAAAUGCAAUUAAAAUAUUUAAUAAAAUUAGGCACAAAUGUACUAAUUUAUGUGGAAAAUCUCGUGGAAUAUUGUAGUUGGAUUGCUUGAAUCGAUUAUGGACCCACUAAGGAUUAAGUGAAAUGUUGGCAUCGUUAGUGAAUUCCCGCUAGAAUACAAAUUUUGAAGAUUAAAUAUAAUUUUGUACCUGUUGUGAUUGAAGAAUUAGAAUAGAAUUAUAAGUAAAGUUUAUGGUUAUAUUGGUUGAACCGAAAAUUAAGACUGAUGUUGUUUGGUUGAAUUGAAAAUUGAGUGUCAGACUGGUUUGUAGGCAAAAACAUUAUGACAUUGUGAAAAAUGUUGUCGUAAUAGAAAAGGCAAUUAGUGCAAAUUAAUUGAGUGAACAAUAGACAUUACGAAGAAAAUGUAAAGUUAGAUACAUAACUGAAAAAAAGUUAGAAAAAAUAAAUAAAUUGACGUAAGAGUAGAUAAUUUAAAUAUUUUGGAAGAAAUUUCAAGCUAGAUAAUAUAAAAUUAGGUAGUAGUAGUACAAUUAUAUGGAUUACAAAAAAUAAUUAAUAUAUGUAUAUGCAAAAUUAGAUAAAUUUAGAUUGAUUUAAUUAUGUAAAAUGACAUAAGAGCAUAAAAUUUCAGCAUAGAUAAUAUAAAAUUAGAUAGUCGUAGUAAAAUUUGGAUAAAUUAAUUGUAGAUAACAAUAUUGUGUUGGAUGCCAAUCUGAUAAUUAAAAUUUGCAGCCAGCCCAUCUUACCUUGGGUCUCUUAUUGCGGUGGGGGUGUAAUCAUAGUUGUUAGGAUCACGAUCGGAUCGUACGAUCCUACGAUCCGGAUUAAGACUAACGAUCCAACUUACGAUCCUGAUACGAUCCUACUAUUUUCAAUAAAUUAAUAAUAAUUUUAGUAUUUUGACUAUAUCUUUGUGUAGAAAACUCGAAAUUAAGUGUCGUUUGUUGCGUUGUAAAUUAUAUUCGGAGUGCUUUAAAUCCAUGUAAAUAAUUAAGCCCAAUUCCAAAUCUAGAAAAUUUGAUGAAUCUUUAAAUUUGACUCAUAUAAUUCACUAAAGUAAAUAAAUGAUCUUUGUUAUAGGUUAUCACAUGGAACUAGUGUUUUGUGUCUUUAUUAUAAUAAAUUAAUAUGGUUUAGAGCCUUUAGAAAUGAAUUAACCUUAAUUAACAAUAUAAUUAUACUGAUUGCACAUGAAUUACAUUGUUUGUUAAUAUAUUUAUGAAUUGCAAAUUUAAAAAUUAUAAAUAUGACAAUUUAUUACAUUUUUUGUAGGAUCUACCGAUUCUAUGAUCCGAUCCUACGAUCCGAUCUUGCAAACCAAAAAACGACGCUAGGUAGGAUCCCGAUUUUGAAAACCUUGGGUGUAAUUUCUUCGGCCUUGGGUCUAUUAGUGAGGUGGGAAUGUAAUUUCUCCGGAGAUGAACUUGCCUAUUCUUCCUACCGAAGCCUCGUUCAACUUUACUGAAGUGAAAAGUGAUGAGGUUUAGUUUUCGUUUCCCCCACUCAGUGAUGAGGUCUAAAAGUGUCCUUUUACCGGUUUUAUUUUUACUUUAUGCUUACUUGUCCUCACAAUUUCAGAUUUGUCAGUCUAAUACCAAUUGAGUGGUACAAAUCACUGUACCAUUUUGAAGAGGCUUCGGUCCAGUUAAUAUACUGUCGAUCUUGAAAGAAUAAUAAUUAUGUAAAUUUUAUUAUAUAUAUAUAUAUAUCAUAAAUUUAACGAUAAUAAUAAUAGGUUACAUAAGCAAAUAAGUCACUAUUAUUAUUUUCUGGUGAAACCUUAAAUAUACUGUCGAUCUUUUGUUUUUUGCCCUUUUCUCUAGCUAAUUUCUUAGAAUAUUCGUAUAAAAAAAAUCCGUCAAAUGAAGCUCUGACACGCUCUAUUUCUCAUUCUAUACGUCAGCACGGCAGCAAAAAUAAAUUUUCCAUCCGCAGUCUGACAGCAUAAAAUUCAGCAGGGUCAAAGGGAUCAGUCGCAGCCUUGCUGACUGUGCACGGCUGCCUGACGCAGAUGUCUGCCGACUGACUUCUGGAAAAAAAAACCUAGGGGUUUGGUUUUUAAAGUUAGGUUGUUCAAUCCAACAGGCAACCCCUUUUUUUCGAGUCAAACGGCUGUCUGAUAAUGCAAUCUUGCCCUCUAGGGGUUCUCCUCUUUCCGCUGGCUAUGAUCUCUCCAGGUAAUAGCUAUUGAUCUCCUUCAGUUUUUGCAAGAGCAAUGAUCGAUUCUUAAUCAGGAAAAUAAUUUCUAAAAGAUUUUUGAGGUGCUUGUUAUUUUGUUUUGGCAGCGCUGCUGACACAAAGGUGCCUGCCCGAGGGAAGGCUUUGAUUCCUACUGAUUUGAGCAUCGCCAUUCCUCAAGGAACCUAUAUGUUUUUAAUAUAUACUAGGAGGGGAUCACCGCACAAGUGCGCGGUGAACAAUUUUAAAAUUUACAUGCCCAGUUAUGCCCUGUUUAUAUAAUGCCUGAAACGUAACUAAGAAUCCAGAAAUGGAAAGAGACAUCAUUGAAAAGCACAACAAUAUGCAUAAUAGAUAUACAUUGUAGAAAUAUAUAGUGAAUUGUUCAUAAAACAUAUAGGACAAAACAAAUCAAAGUCUAACCAUCAUCUAUUAGCAAAGUAGAAUGAUUAUAAUCUCAGUUGUGAAUGUUGAGAAUGUUUAAGUUCACAUUGUUGAUAAUAACAGUGAUGAAAGGUCCAAAGGGUUCAAGGCUGAUUAAGUUGUACAAGUUUCAAGUGGUCCGAUUACAAGAGCUCGUGCAAAAAAAACUUACAGAUUCACUACAGUCACUUGUUUGCGCAAUUCAAGAUCGAAUUGGUUAUGACACAAGGACUAUUGAAGGCUUUCAACUUGAAGAGCUUCCAUGUGUCACUUUGCUUGUCACGCAUGAAGAGUUAGAAGCAAACUACUUAAAUAGUUGUUUUGUUAGUUAGUUAAUGUUAUUUGAUUAGUAGUAUUAGUUAGGAUUUUAAUUGUCAAUCUAAUUGCUGUUUUAAUGGUUUAAUUAUUUAGUAAUCUUCGGCCAAAUUAGUCUUCAAAGAAGGCCGAAUCUUAGUUGAUUUCUUAGCCAAAUAAAUGAUCACACAUCACAUUGAGUUUUCAAGUCAUAUAAGGCUAUAAAUAACCUAAUUUUUCCAUCGUUAAUAAUCAGAUUUUUCCAACAAUAAACGUGAGUUUUAUCAUCUUUCUCUUGUCUAAAAGAGCCUUUCUUGAAUACUUAAAGAGUUUCUUGAGAAGAUUCAAAUCAAACUUAUUAAUCAAGUAGACAUCAUGAUUGUGGCGUUCCUUUACAAACAGUUUUGGUUCGCUAAAUUAUUAAGUUGUGGGUUAAGAAAUAUUGUUAGUUCAUAACUUCGUGAUUUAGAGGGGUCAAGAGUUCUGCAAAUCAACUUGAUUCUUCGUCUAGAUCCAAGGAUUGGAGGGAUACGAGUUCAUACCUUCGAGUGGGUUAGUAACAAAAAGUCUCAUCCAUAGAGUAUGAAGUUAUUAUCUCAUAGGCUGCAUAUCAGAUGGAUCCAAAUCUAGGUGGUCUAAUAUAGAACAUAUACAUCUUUCCAUGCAAAGUACGUGUGAGAUAUCGAGUAAUAUCAAUCAUAUGUUUCAAAAAAAAUGAAGAAAUAUUAUAAACUAACAAACAAAAGGGAAAAAAUAUUGUUGCAAUUGUAAAAGAUUUUAAACCAUAAAAAGUUGCAUUUACAAUUUGUCUAACAGUGUAAAUUUUGACAUUUGUUCAUAGUCAAGAAAUUCAUAAUAAAUAAAAAAAUUAGUCUUAUAGAAUCUCGAAACAUGAGCUUGAACUUCCAUGAUUCCAAUAAAUAGAUAUUUUAACUCAACCAAAAACAAAAACUUUCUGCCAUUCGCACUCAUCCAAGAACUGUAAUGAGUAGCUUUCGAAAGAAACUGGUGAAAAACCUACCAAGUAUUAUAACAAAAAAGAAAGUAAGAUAUAAUCCAUUGAAAUUAGUUUACUACUGUAACACCAAGUUAAAAACAAAUCAAGGGACUUGAAUGAUGCCAACAAGGACAUGACAGAUUCAACAAACAUCUGCAUUUUUGGUUACUAACAGUUUAAUGCAAAUUUUGUUACCCCUUGUAUUUUUCAACACAUUACACAAACAAGGAACUUUUUUUUUUUUUUUUUGGAUACAGUUGUUGCCAAAGUCGAGAGAUGAAAAGAUUCUUACAGGUAACCUAAAGUAUCUUGAUUGGUAACUCGUGUUCUCACCAAAGUUAAAGUAUUAAAUGUGCCAGAUCCUUGGAGACGGUAUGCAAGUAAACUUUUCCACAAUUUGAUCAUGCAUCUAUGCAAUUUACACAAAAUGCCAAUGGAAGAUAUUAAAAUCAAUUUACACAACUUGAUCAUACAGCUACGCAAUUUCCACAACUUGGGAGAUGGUUCUCAUAAAAACUCAAUAUUGUCACAUGCAAAACCAAAAAAGUACAUUAUUCACAUAACUAAAUUAAAAAAAGGAAAAAGUGCAGAAAAUUUCAAAUAGUGGAAGCUAAAAGCUGAGAAAUAUGUGGAUAUCAUCAUUGAAUUUGAGGAGAAACACGUAGAUUCAACACUCGAACCAUCAAACAAGUCAUUGAAAUUUCAUUAUUCACAUGGCAAGGAACUCAGCUAUUACUCCAAAUAUCUUAAUUAAACUGAUAGCCUUUGCUGGACCAAAAGUCACUGUUAAACCUAUAAUAUAAAAUUUAAUUGAUGCACCAUAAUUUGUAUCAGGUUUCACCUUUGUACUUUCCAAUGAGGUUUUUUUUGGGAAGAAAAAAGAAGAUUAAAAACGUGUUAAAUCAUAGCAAAACAAUUACAUACUCAAAUCAGAGAUAAAGGUGAACUACAUAACAAAGAUUUUUUCACUUUCAACUAUUUAGCAAAAAAUGCGAAUACAAAAAAAAGUGUGCUUUCACUGUGGGUUUUGACAAUAUUAUCUAUCCCAGAUGUAAAUAGUCAAGUCCAUAAAUUGUUAAUUAGGCAUGCAACAAAAUAAACUGUUGAUAACUUUUAAUUUGAGCAUGUUACCUUAUGUUGUUCACUUUGAACCCAUCUCAAGUAAAAGUUCAUUAACCUCAGUGCUUCUAGAGAAUUGCCAUCACUGACUCUUUAAGCUUCACAGUAUGGAUGCAGAGGUAUAAGAGAUUUUGACUACUAACCAAAAAGAAAAAGGGAAAACUAUAGUGAUGUGAUCCAUUUCCUAAUUGGAGGUACACAAUUUAAAGUUGUUCAGGAACCUUUGGAGGGUUAUCAGAGGAGGUGUGAAACUGACCCAAUCAAUUUAAACCAGUUACGAUAAAAGAGACGGGGAGAACUGUUCAUUCUAAUUUAAAGUUGUUCAGGAACCUUAUGGAGGGUGAUCGGAACAUCCCAGAGCCUGAAUAUACACCAAAAUUUAAAGACAAGACCUUCUAUAGAGCAUUCUUGAUCCUAGUGUUGCACAGACUUCAUUUGAACACUUUCACCAGAAUUAAGGUUACAAGUACGCUUGCUCAAGAAAAAAUAGACAUGGUGUCAACACAAAGACAAUAACGCAAUGGUAUUAACGACAUUCUGUUUACCAGGAAGGAGGAUAAUCAACAAAAUAACUUCUUUUUUUGGUUACAUCUUAAUAAAUUAGCAUAGAAGUAAAAAAGUGCUAGUAAAGCACUUGCAACACAAAUAGGAUUGAUCCCUAUUCCAUACUGCAGAAAGCAAUGAAAAGCAUAAGAAAUUUUUUAUGUAGCCAAUCUAGCAUUAAUGGCAUGAGCAGGAUGAGAUACUAUAGUUGCACAAUCUGUGGCACUGAUCAUUUCCCAAGAUGCCUCACGAGUAUAUGGUGUAGCACAUAGUGUGACCUUGAAUUUUGUUUUGAAAUCUCUUACAUUAUAUUGUUUAAAUGCUUACUGUAAUUGCAUACGCACAAAAGUCAAAUAGAUCCAAAGUCAAUUUUACUUCUUCCAUUUGUAGAUGUUCAAAUCUCUUUGACAGCAAUGCCAACUGUACGGCACUAUUCACUACUCGAGAUUUACAAGGCUUUAUCUUCAAAAAUAAAUUAUCAAAUGCAGUCCUUUGAAAGUGACAUAACUCCAGCAACGCGCAUCCCCAUUUCUCCAUAAAACAAAGAUUACAAAAGAAAAAAAAACAGAAAAAUGCUUUAUUUUUCUAAUUCUUCGUAACCCAGGGGACAAAAAAAAGAAGAAACCAAAUAUAGAUACUUUAAAAAAAUGGUCAGUUAAUUUCUCGUGACGACUAAACACGUACAAAACAUGUAAUUUAACAUUACCAAAAGCCAUCAUUAUGAACAUGUUAUCUUCUAAUUACCAUAAAGAGAGAAAAAAAGGAGGAGAAUGAAUUUCUACCUAAAUAACACUAAGUGAGUAAUGCAUGAUUUUUUCUUUCAUGCUUUUGGGUUGUGAAGUAGUAAAAAAAAAGGCACCCAAUAGAUUUUCCUGACUAACCAGACUUUUUUAUACUGAAGAAAAAAAGCACUACUAUUUUUUUAUAAAAAAAAUCAUCAAAUACCAUAAUUACUUCUCUAUUAAGACUAGAGAUGUAAUCGAACCAAGUCAAACUCGAGUAUUGCUAUACUCGAGCUCGACUCGACUCAUAUAUACCUAGGUUCGAGCUCGACUCGAGUUCGACCGAGUACAAAAAAUCGAUACUCGAAACUUGACUCGAGAAACUCGCUUUAAGCUCGAGACUCGACUCGAUAAGGCUCGACCUUUAGUCAAGCCUUAUCAAGUCGAGCCUAAUCAAGUUUUUUGACUCGACUCGACCAAUCUUCACUCUUUUAGACAUUUUUUCUUUUUAGGUCUUUUUACAAUUAUGUUAUUACUUUUUUGCCAUUAUGAAAUUUUAUUAUAAAGAAGAGUUUAUUGUAAAUUCCGUAAAACUUAUACCCAUAAUGGUCAUUUUAUAAUUAUAACACAUAUAUAUUAUUUAAAUUAUAAAUAUAUUAUUUAAAUACCUCUGGCUCGACGAGUAGCUCGACAAGUCUCGAACCUCAAAAUAUUGGUUCGAAAUUCGACUCGAAUGACAAUUGAGUAGCUCGAGACUCAGCUCGAACUCGGUCAACCCGAGUUCAAGCCAAGCCGUUGACCGAGCUACUCGCGAGCUACUCGAUUAUGACUCGCCUCGCUUACAUCCCUAAUUAAGACAUAGAGGCUUGCAAGACCUCCCAAAUACUUAGAUAUUUAGUUAAACAUUUCAUUCUAAACUUCAUAUAGUUUCUACACCUGACCACAAAUUUCUCAAAAAUUUAAAGCACACCGACAAAAGCUCAUCAGAGUCACUAUGUGAAUUGUACCAAAGAAACAAGCAAUUUCUCUAGCAUAUAGUUUAAAGCAAAAGGAAAAAAGCUAAAGCUUUGUCAUAAGUACAACAUCAUAUGAUGAAUGAGUUAUAACUAUAAACCAAAGUAGCACACCUGAGAAUUUUUGGUAUAGCUCUGUAGAGAUUGCUUCAAACGUGAAAACAACCAAUAAGAACAUCAGAAAUUGUCAUUAUUUGAAAAUUAUUAUACAUACGGAAAAAAAGGAAUCAGUGAUCAAAUCUUUUUAAUUAAAUUAAGCAGUAAUUAUGGUAGCUUAAAAUAAGGCUCAGGUUUGUCAGCAAAAAUCAGGCAGAGAUGAGAGUACCGCCAUGGCUGCAGACCCAUUGCAUUUGAAGGGAAGAAUGAACCUCAAAUGCAAUCAGGGUUGCCUUGCCAAGAUACGGCAAUCAAUUUAAAGCCUGAAAUACAUCUAAUGAAACCAAAACCAUAUCAUCAUAGCCUAACCGAGAACAAAAUAAAUUAGCCGAUUUACAACUUUCAUCUGCCAUAAUACUCUAGCUAGAAAGCUGCACCCUUUUCCAAAAAAAAAUCACCAUACAUCUUUGUAAAAAUCUAACCAGAAACAAAAGGAAACAUGAAUAAAUAUUCAAAUCCAAGGAAAAAUUAAGAGAAGAUUACUCAUGAAUAGACACAUUUAUUCAAAAACAUGUAUAAAGUACUUCUCAAAGCAGUUUACAAGUUCUACAAUCAUCAAUCUAACUAAAAUAGAGCUCAUGGAAUUAAAAAGAUAAGAAUACAUACAUAAAAAAAUUAGCAAACCUACUCAAUCAACGAGAACGUAGCACAACAAAAGCACCAAAAAGUUUCCUAAAAAGAAAAACAUAUGUAUUAAAAACAAGCAAAUUUAACAAUAAGCAUAAUAUCAAUCUAAAUAUUCCACAACAAGAGAAAAAUCAUGCCAUUCAAAAACUGUAAAAAUUGCUCACUGUAAGAAUUAACAACAAUAUGGAGAAUAGCAUAGAUAAAGCAGAAAUAGCUGAUUUUAGUUAUAUCAGGUCUAAUAAAAAGAAAGAAAAAAAAGUUGACGAUAGAAAGUGCUGGAAAAACAAUAAAAUUUUGAACAGAUCUGCAAUGUAUCUGGAAAAAAAAAGAUAAUUGCUUGAAACCAGCACCAACAGAAAUCGAUAAUGUUAUUUUCUUGACAGUCAUAGUCCAUCCAGACAGAAAGCAUAUGAAAAAGAAAUUUUUUGGAAUAAAUCGGCAAGUACUUGGAAAAAAAGAGAGGAAUAAAAGUUUGAGUGUCCGGAUAAUUUUUUACCGAGAAAUAGAGAAUAACGGAGAGGAGAAGAUCAUGGACGAGGUGUACAGCAGCCGUAGUGGUCCGAAAAGAAAAGUUUUGGAACAGAUCGGUAAGUACCUGGGAAAAAAGAGAGAAACAAAAUGCCGUGUCCGGAUAAUUUUUUUACCGAGAAACAAAGAAUAACGGAGAGGAGAAGAUCAUCGACAAGGGGUACAAUAGCCGUAUUGGUCCGGUGGUUUGGGUAUGAGAGGAGAAAGCAGCGAUGAAAGAGAAACACUUGAUGGGAAACGGGAGACACUUGAUGGGAAUAGGUAUCUCGAGCCCACCCCAUCUGUUGUUCCAACCAAGAAACGAUAUCUGCAAAAGGCGCCACCAGAAACAUAGGAACCUCUGCAUACAUCGUAGAAACAAAGAGUUCUCAGUCAUUUCAAUCAAAGGAAAGAGCAAAAAGGCGGUUUUCGGCAGCUCUCUAUAGCAGACCUGAAAUUUCUCUCACCAAAGCACAGAGGCAAGCAAGAAGCUCAGCAAUACACAACGUUGCAUUUGAUUUUAAAAGAAGGGCAAAUCCGUAAAAUCAUGCCAACCCACAUUGAGCCCAUCACCAACACUUGUCAUCAAUCAAACCAUCACCAACCGUCAAAAGCUUACUCACAUGGUCAUCUGUUGACCAGAGAAAUGGUGCUUGCUGGAAACAAAUUUAGUGAAAAGCAAAGGGCCUUAUUCUCGGACAACAACAACAAAAAAACUCUCCAAUAUUUCUCUAGCUGGGCACGUGAUUUUGGCAUGAGGAGGACGACCACAUUUGAACCAAUGAGAGCUUGACACAUCAACAGACAACCACUCUUUUGCCAAAACUCAUUCGUGCUUGUACUAUAUAGGUAGAUAACAAUAUACAAAAAUAUAUGUUUUGUAUAUUGUUAUAUAUAUUAAAAAAAUAUAUUAAUAUGUAUGUAUAUUGAUAUAUAAAUUUAUAUAAAUAAAUAUAUUAAAUAUAUAUUAAUAUACAUACAUAUUAUAAAACAAAAUUGAAAUAAAAAAUAUUAUAUAUAUAAAAAAAUAAAUAUUAAUAAAUAGAAACAGAGCCAGUAUAUAUUUUUAAAAAAUCCCAAAAAAAUUAUUAAUUAUAAAAAUACUCGAAAAUAUAUUUUAAAAAUACCUCUAAAAACAAUCCAAAAAAUAUCUACAGUAAAAGUUUUUCAUAUACACAGUUACAGUAAAGUUUUUAUAAAACACCUCCAAAAACAGUUAAUUCAAAUAGAGCAAAAGAAAGGGAAAAAUGUUAAAUGAUAAAAGUUGGAUAAAUUACUUUAAACAAAAAAAAUAAAUAGCAAAUGUGAAGAUUGUGCAAAUAUAGCACACUAUUAUUAAGAUGAAGCACUCAAAGAAACCUAGGUGACAAUAAGGCAACCCUACAGUCGGUUGCCUUAUUUUAAUUGGGCCCCAAUUGACAUGUGAAAGAUGUCCACCUGAGUUGUCUUGUUAAUACUUCAUCUGCCCACGGUAGAGAGUUCACUGUACUUUCCACACUAGAAGCAACCUAACUUUAAAAACCAAACCCCUAGCUUUUUUUUUCCCGAAGUACCAAGGGGUGAGAAGUGUCAGCCGCAGCCGUGCUGACUGUGCACGGAUGCAAGGGGACCCCUGCUGAAUUUUAUGCUGUCAGACUGCGGAUGGAAAUUUUAUUUUUGCUGCCGUGCUGAGUCUAGAAUGAGAAAUAAAGUGUGUCAGAACUUUAUUUGGCGGAUGUUUUUUUUUUAUACGAAUAUUCUAAGAAAUUAGCCCUUUUCGCUUGACCCCUCUUGCCGUGCGAAUGCUACUGGUUUAUAAAAGGUUACAGAAGCACAUACGUCAUUGUUAUUUUCUCUUGAAACCUUAAACUGCCUUCAGUAGUCCAUAAGAUACAAUAUCUAACAAAAAUCCGCCUGCAAAGAAAUUUGCCUGGAUCCUCCUCAGAACUCCUCAAAUCUCGUCUCAAUGGAAUCUCAGAAAGGUUUAUAUUUGAUUUAACUAAAAGUAUGUCCAGCAAACACUUUUCUUAAAUAGUCUGUUGAUGAAGGGUAAAUUUCUUGGAAUAUUUUGAUUAAAGAAAAACAAAAGGUAGGUUGGAAAAAUAUGAUCCUGUAGAGGUGCUUUUCUUGUUAUAUGCCCGUUGAAUCCACUGGACACGACUGGCAUUUUUUUUAAUCUAAAAUACGGAAUAUGCUGGCCGGUUAUCUAUUUUGUAGCAGGGACCAAUUUAUAAAUAAGGUUCUUUUUUUUUUCUUUUUUUUUGCCUUUUGAGCGAACUGAUAUGAUCAGAAUACAUGAUAGUGCUGGAAACAACUUUUUAUUUCAUCCCCAAGCUAAGUAAAAUCUUUUCAGGUGCUGCCGUCGAGUUCUUUUGAAAAUCACAUAACAAGUCAUGUAGAUUUUAAGUUAUUGUACAAUUAGGUUUAAUCAUAUAUUAGUAAAUACAAAUUUGAUUUAUAUUUACAUAAAGGAAAAUAGUUGUGACACAAUUCUAAUACGAUACUUUCUUACGAGCAAGAAAGUUUUUAAUGAUUUUCAAUUUUUUUCCUACCUGGAGAAAACAAAAGUCUAAACUUGAAAUAUAAUUAGAAUAGAGAAAUACAAAAAUUAGAGAUCAUAUAGAGUAAUUAUGAUUCAACUGCAUACAAAAUGGUAAUUAUCUUAUAAUAGGAAAUUUUUUAAAAAUCAUGAGAAGGGGGGCAACGGACUUCAAUCCAAGACCUCUAAUUCUUGAUACUUCAACAUUUGUCAUAGACCGAGGAUUUGAUAACAGAGAUGUAACAAAAUCAACACUAAGAAAUGACCCAUACACAACGAUUUAGAGUAAAAUAUACAGUAAACUUCUAUAAAUUAAUAUCUUCUAUUAAAUAAUAAUUUUUUUUCAUCUCGACUUGGAAUAACAAGUUAAAUUAAUAAUUUUGAUGAAAUAAUAAGAUAAUAUAUAUUUUUUGAAAACUUCAUCUAACCUUUUGGUCCUAUUCAUAUCAUAAAUUAAUAAUUCAUCAAAAUUACAUUUCGUCUAUUAUUUUUUAAAAAUUUUAAAUUUACUUAAAUCUCAUCCUUAGUUUUAUAUUCAUUAAACUUUUAACCUUCUUUUAUUAAUAAAUUAAUUCAUUUUUUAUAAAAUAAAAUAAAGCUUUAGCUGAUUAAAUGAGUAUUUCUUUGGAUUUGUAAGUACACUCAACAAAUUAAUAAAUUAUUAAUUUAUUGAUUAAUUAAUAAUACUUUUUAAAUUAAUAGAAUUUGUAAGGUCCCAAAAUUAUUUUAAUUUAUACAGAUUUUACUGUAGUAGUUAAAAGAACUCUUGGGCGUCUGUCGUGAGCAAGUUUGUUUUUAUAGGUCGAAAGAGGUAUACCGAUUGGCUAUAAAAUGUAGUAAAUGGUAUAAAUUAAGUUGGUAUUAUACAUAGAAAAAUGGUAGCUUUAUGCAUCUAGAGUCAAUCAAGUAGCAAAUUGAAGAAUAUAAAGCGAGGAGCAACAAAAUGGACUAUGCGUCUUAUGUUUUUUGUUUGCUUUAAUUAACUUUAAAUUGCAUACGGACUUACUGAGAAUGAAGGCUGAAAAGGUUGUUGAAGGGUUUUAAAGGUUUGCCACUAUAAGAGUUUGGGAGAAGAAACAAGCGAGAUUCAGUUUGCUCAAAAAAACAAAAAAGGAGGGUAAAAAAAAUAUUCUUCAUUUAUAAAUUGGUCCAUUGACCUUAAAAUAAAUAAAAGCAAAUUAUUUGGAUAGUCACUAAACUUUUUAAAUAAUAGUUGAGUUUUAGUCACUUAACUAUUAAUAGUAUAUUUUUACACACUAAACUAUUAAAAAUAUAAAUUUUGAAUCAUUCCAUCUGAUUCCACCAUUAAUUUUGACAAAUCCAAAUAUUAAUAGUAUAUCUGAUAAGUUAUGUGAAUUUUUAGAUCGGACAGAAUUAACAGUUGAAUCAAAUGAAACAGCACAAAAUUUACACAUUUAAUAUUUCAGUGGGCAAGAAUAUAUUAUUAAUUGUUAAGUGAUCAAAUCUUGACUAUUUAAAAAUCUAGUAGUUACCCUGGUAAUUUGCUCAAAUAAAUGUCUUCCCAAGGAAAUAGGUGGAAAGUAGAGGUGGCAAAAUGGGCGAGAUGGGCGGGAUUUGCUUGGAUUUGAGAUGGAACCGAGUCAUAUGGGUUUGGGCCCAACCUUACCCAUAUGUGUUUUGGGACUAACUUGGGCGGGAUCAUUUUGGGAUGGGUUUAGAUUGAUCCCGCCCAAUACCCAAAUCCAUUUUCUACAUAUUUUUUUUCCUUUAAUUCAUUUUUUUUAAUAUAAUUUUAAUAUUUUUGAUUUAUUAAAUUUCUUUUAGUUUUAUUAAAUAAACAUGCAAGUGCUUUAUACUCAAGAUUCCCACCAAAAAUUGGAUUAACAAAUAAAGGAAAAGAUAGAUAUACAGCCAUAUUCCAACAUAUAUCAAGAUGGCCAAGGUCCUUAGGAUGUUGAAUAUUUAUCCUUAUCAUUGUCCAAGGAUGACAAGUCUAAACUAACUGAAAUGCUGGAAAUUCUUGUGGAUAAUGACUAGGAAGACUACUAGAUUAUAUUCGCUGGUAUGACUAUAAAAAUUGUUAAAGAUAAUUUUUGAAUCUAAGAUUCCGUUUGGAUUGACUUUUUUUUCAAAAAAUAAGUUUUUCAAAUACAAUGUUACAGUAAUAUACAAUAACUCAAGAAACAUCCCAUCCAUAUUAAUAUAUCAAAUAUUUCAAAAAAAUUUUAUAGUAAAAAUUUUUCAUAUACACUGCUAUAAUAAAAUAUUUCAAAAACACCUACCAAAAACAGCUAAUCCAAACGGAGCCCUUGCCAUUUGAGCCCAAUGGGUACCCAAGUAUUUCCCAUCCUUUCCCAUUCAUUAAUGGGUAUAGUUGGGAUGUGUCCCAACUUAAACCCAAUACCAAAUUAUAAUACCCAUCCCGCCCAAAGUUCCUUUGGGCAUGGGUAGCCCAUUGGGACUUGGGACAAAUUGCCAGCUCUAGUGGAAAGGUUUCACAAGAAAGUAGAAGAGAUGUCAACAACAGCAAAAUAUCAGGCAGCUUAUGGAAGCAGUUAAUUCCUUUAAAUACUCACUAAACUAGGUACUAGAGAGACUUUCCUUCAGCAUUCCAUCAUUCUCUGGCUUUAACUACAUUAAAACCUUUGUAUGUGUCUUUCCAAAAACUAUAAAAGACCCUAUUUGAGUCAAACAAACCACAAAAGUGAAGUUUGAAAUUUGAAGAAAGAGCAGUAGAUUUAUGAGACAAAAGUGAAGUUUGAAGAAAAAGCAGUAGAUCUAAAAAGUUAACAAAACAAAAUUUAAACUCGUUGCAUCACCAGAUGCACACAGACCUACACAUUUGCUGCCAAAGAAUUAAACAAUAAUCGGUAUAAGUCACGAAAGAAUUGACAAUGCAUAUAUAUCAGCCAAUUAAUGAUACUAUGUUAAGUACUGAAUGACACCCUGCGACUUACCUAAUUGGAUUUCCUGGUGAAUACAGUCGAUUCUUGACAACAUACUCGACAUACAAGUUGUAUAUGUGCUUGAGGGAUUCCCUUCAAUCACCUGUCCUAGGAUGAGUUACCAGGAUGAUCUGUAAAACCAAUAAAUACAUGGGGAAGAAGAGGUUUUUCAUGUUCACAAGAGAGAGUUUUUCAACUUGUCAUGGAAAAAAGUUAUGCUAACUGCCAGCAAGUGAUAGUCAGACAACAGAUAAAUGUCUUGAUACUCUUGCUACAUAGCCAUCUAUAUGAAUGCAAGCAUAUAUACUCAUGCAAUCAUCUGGACAGACCUUAAUCCCAGAUGGACUCUCCAUGAAACUAAGUUAGUAGGUAUUAGUGCGGAAGCUGUGAAACGAACAUCCCUGCCCAGGUAAUUGUGGGACUCCAAGAUUUCCUUUAUCAGCGCUGCCAAAGAGAUCAAACAAUAAUGUAAGAAAGUCACUCUUAUUAGUAUGUCUUCAAAGAUAUGAUUAAGAAACAUUUUUAUACCAGGACAAUAAUGAGAUGCAAAACCAGUCUUCAGGAUUACUUUCAAUUUGACCAAAUAAUGGCCAAUCCUUUCUGGUAAAAAUUCUCACAUCACACCAUCAAGCUGCUACUGUGGGUGGUCAUUUAAAGUGCACAUAUAUUGACUCAUGAACUUCUUUAUAUACAUCAACAAAUGUACAUAUGUUUUACCACCAGUAUACUCUUCAAUCACUCUUCUUUUAUCAAAAGACUAACACGAUUACAAAAGAAUACCCAAACUUUAGAAAUGCCUAUCAAAGUACUUCUGAUCAUGAGGCAGAUUAUUAUCUCUCUCCUUAGGCAUGAACCUCGUAUUAAACUGCCUUGACAAUAGCCUGACAGUCUGGUUGGAGAAACGGAUCAUCUUUUUUGGAAUUAAAAAGCUAGAAAAGAAAAAUUGUAAUGCUAAUGCACGUUAUGGAGGCCAAAUUGAUUAUCAGACAACUGGGCGGGGUGGGAAUUGGAAUUAACCAAUACGUAAGUUGAAUCAAGCGUCAAGUGGAAUAACAAAAGAAAAGGGUCGUCUAAUUAUUAGAAAAGAAAAAAUAAUUCCAAAAUUAUGUGAUCCAAAGAAGGAGAAAACGGACCUAGUUGGAUCAAUUUUGGCAGUCAAGGAUUUAAGAGAGAAGAGGAGACCGAACAUGAGCUUGUGAUCCUGCUGGGGGCUGAGAGUCUUAAGUGGCCGAUUCCAUUCCCUGUACAGCAGACAUACUCCAUUCCUGUUGAACACGUAUAGCAUGUGGGCGUUAUUCCCCGCUGCAGUCGGGACCGGUGGCGAUGGACUGAUCUCGGAUCCUCCGAAAAAUUGCAUGCUUUGGGAGAUACCAUUUUUUUUUUUUUUUUAAUCCUUGGGCGAUACUUGUGGAGUUGAGCAACAGGGGGAUGGGAGGAACCAGGGUGAGCAGCGACAGCUAGGGGCCGGGGAAGGGUAGUGGACAAUGGCUUGGCUUGGCUUGGCUUGCUGGCUGGUUAGAGAGGAGCGGAGGGGAUCGGGCUAUAAGGCUACUAGCAGUAAAUUUUACUACUGCUAAACUUUUUUAUGUUUUGCUUUUCAAGUUUGGGAUUAAAUUUGGGAAUCAUGGUUCCUAAAAACCUACCAAUCAUCAUUCCUCCCUUUCGUUUUUUCCUUUUGGUGGAGAGAAUGAAAACCUCCCAGUCUAUGCGGGUACAGACUACAGAGUUUUGAUGAAUCUUUAAAUUUCUUUCCAAAAAUCUCAUACCCACAUGGCCAUACCCUGUUGCCAAAACUUAAUUUCCAUGCCUUUUGCUUGACUAGUGUUUAAUUGAUUCAAAUCUCAACCCCUCUAUAUUUUGUUUUCCUGGAGUCCUCAAACCAAAAAAACAACAACAAUAAUAAUAAUAAUAAUAACAACAACAACAACUGCUGCUGCUGCUACUACUACUAGUUUUAUUCACAAUCACACUAAUGUUUGAGGCAAACUUGUUGCGUGCACAACUAACAAAAAAAAUUAUAUACAAUUUUUUAAAUAUUUGUUAAAGUCAUUCUUAUGAGGCAAUUUUAUAUUUUUUAUAAUACCUACGGUGAAAAAUUUACCAAAAUAAACUAUGCAAAAUGUAAAUAGAUAGUUGUUUGGUAGUGGGUAAUAAUCAAAAAAAGAGAAAGAGGGAGCUAGCGGAUAGUUAGUUAUAAAAAGUACUAAUUUAGAACUAUCACAAAGUGACAGGUUUUAGUUUACACAAAAAAACCUCCUCUUUUUUGUAUAUGGUACAUAGAUAAUUAUUACUGUUUUUAUAAACACUCUAACUUACCAAUAUGUUCAAAUGCCAUAGUUAUAAAACUUAACAUGCCUCAACGGUUAAACUGGUCAACUCGGUGAACGGAUCAUAGGAUCGAGUUGGAUUGUUAAUCAAACCUAUUAACCCGUCAAUGAUCCGACGUUUCAAUUGGUGAAUCGAAAAAAAAAUCGUCAAUUAAGUUGCCGUCUAACCACCAACAUAAAAUUAUAUUGUAUUUAUAAUUUAAAAUGUAUUAUAAUAUUACAUAAUAUAACUAUUAUGCAACCCACAACUCGAUCACCUCUCCGGAUUGAGCUCCUAACCAUUUGAAUUCCUUGUUUUUGCUUCUGUUUUUGAACAACUGUUUUUCACAUUCCAAAUGCUACAGUAAAUGUGUAUUUCCAAAAUAACUCCAAACACACCAUAUCCAAACAUUAUAUCAAAAACAACUCCAUUUGUAUAUUUCAAUUAUGUAUAUUAUAUAUAUUAUAUUAAUAUAAUUGAAAUAUACAAAUUGAAAAUAAUAUAUUUAUAUAUUUAUAUAUUAUAUAAAUAUUUAUAUACAUUAAUAUUAUACAUAAUAUAAUAUAAUACACAUAAUAUAAUAUACAUAAUAUGUAAUAUUGUAUACAUAAAUGUAUAAAUAUUUAUACAUAAUAUAUUAUGUACAUUAUAUUAUAAUAUAUAUAUUUAUAAAUUAUAAAUUAUAUAAAUAUUUAUAUAAUGAAAUAUACAAUAAAUAUUACAAAUUGAAAUAUUAUAUAAACACCAUAUUUAUAAUAUUAUAAUAUUUAUAAUUAAUAUUAAUGUAUAUUAUAUAUAUUAAAUAUUUAUUUAUUUAUACAUAUUAUAAAUAUUUUAUUUUAUUUAAAAAAUAUUUUUAUAUAUUUAUAAUAUAUUUAUAUAAAUAUUAUAUAUUAUAUAAAUUAUAAAUUAUAUAUUAUAUAUUAUACAUUUAUAUAAAUGUACAUUUAUACAUAAUAUAUAUUAAUGUAUAUUUAUAAUAUACAUUUAUAUUAUGUAUUAUAUAUAAUAUAAUACAUUUAUAUUAAUAUACAUAAUAUUAAUUUUAGAUUUAUACAUAAUAUUAAUACAUUUAUACAUUUAUAUUAAUUAUAUUAAUACAUUUAUACACAAUAUUAAUAUAUAUUUAUAAUAUAUUAAUUUAUACAUUUAUAUAAUAUUCAUUUAUAAUUUAUACAUUUAUAAUAAUAUACACUUAUACAUUUAUAAAUAUAUUUAUAUUAUGUAUUAUAUAUAAUAUAAUACAUUUAUAAUGCAUUUAUAUAUUUUUAUAUAAAUAUAUAAAUAUAUUUAUUUAUAAAUGUAUUAUAAAUGCAUAAAUGUAUAUUUAUAUAAAAAUAUAAAAAUUAUAAAUUAUACAUUUAUACAUUUAUAUAAUAUUCAUUUAUAAUUUAUACAUUUAUAAUAAUAUACAUUUAUAAAUAUAUUUAUAUUAUGUAUUAUAUAUUAUAUAAUACAUUUAUAUAUUUUUAUAUAAAUAUAUUUAUUUAUAAAUGUAUUAUAAAUGCAUAAAUGUAUAUAAAUAUAAAAUUAUAAAAAUUAUAAAUUAUAAAAAUACUCAAAAAUAUGUUUUAAAAAUACCUCUAAAAAUAAUCCAAAAAACAUCUACAGUAAAAGUUUCUCAUAUAGUUUUUGAAAAACAACCCAAAAAAUAACUAAUCCAAACGGACUUGUAUUUAAAAAACGAAAUGCUACAGUACUGUUUUUGAAAAACAGCUCCAAAAACAAUUAAUCCAAACAGAGCCUAUAGUAAUUGAGCAUAUUUUUUCCUUCUAUUUUUGGAAACUUACAAAAAGAAAAAUGGAAGUAUCAUCGCUCGAUUUAUGGCCCCGUUUGGAACAUGAGUUUUUUAGAAGUUUGUCUAAAACUUUACUGUAGUGCACUGUAGAAGUUUUUGAAAAAUUUUUUAAGAUGAAAAACUUGUUUGAAAAACCUUUUUUUUCUUUCUUUCCUUUUUCUUUUCUUUCCUCUUCUUCUUCUUCUUUUUCUUCUUCUUUCCCCCUGCCCCUUCCCUCCCCCGUUAACCUUUGCCUCCGACGAACCAGCAACCAUGGUCCUACCAUUUUUUUUCUUUCUUUUUCUCUUUCUUUCUUUCCUUUUUCUUUUCUUUCCUCUUCUUCUUCAUCUUCUUUUUCUUCUUCCUUUCCCCUGCCCCUUCCCUCCCCCAUUACCUCUGCCUCCGACGAACCAGCAGCCUUGUUCAAAAUUUUUUUUCUUUUUCUCUUCUCCUCUUCUCCCUCUCUACUCCCCUUUCCCCCUCUACUCCCCUUCACCUUCCCCCUUUCUCUCUCAAAGUCAAAGAACCAGCAGCCAUGGCGUGCACAAUUUUAUUAUUAUUAUUUUUUUACGUUUUCUCUCCCCAUCUUCUCCAUCUCCCUCGCCCCAUCUUCUCCAUCCCCCUUUUUGUGCAAUGGGUUAUUAGAUUGGGUUCGGGACUGUCGGCGAACAUUAGUUGUUGCGGGUUGCGUUGGCGGUACGUGGUUGCCGCGGGUUGCGUCGGCAGUCGUGGCUGCUGUGGGUUGCGAGGGAGAGAGAAUGGAGGAAGCGGUGGGUGGCACACGGCGAGGGUUGGACAGUGAGCGUUGGUGGCCGAGGGUUGGCGGCGACUGUUCAACGUUGGUAUGGAAGGGGGCCAGGGAGGGGAGGGGGAGAAGAGGGGGGAGAGGGGAGGGAAGGAGAGGAAGAGAGGGAGAGGAAGAGAAAGAAAGGAAGGAAAAAAAAAAGGAGGAAUGCCGGCAUCGGAAUAGGUGGCGGCGGCGAUGGCCGGCGAUGAUGGUGUGGUGGAUUGGGGUGGGGGAGAAAGAAGAAGAAAAGAGAAAGUUUUUUAUGUAUUAGAUAUUUUGAAGUGUGUAUGUUAAAAAAUUUGAUAAGUUUUUUUGAGUUCCUGUAGCAAAAGUUGUUAAAAAACUAGUAGAUAAAAAAUUUGGUAAAAAACUAAGCUUCCAAACAGGCCCUAUAAUUGCAAGGUAAAGUCAAGGUCAUGACAGCGGGGAACAUUCAUUCAGACUCGACCAAAAUAUCUGUUUUCAUCUUCUUUUAGCGUCCAUUUAGUAACAACGUGGAGAAGAAUUUGCAUCGGGAAUGGGAAGAACUCGGAAUCAAAGCGAUGCUUGUUUGUAGUCCGUAGCAAAAGAUAUCACAUAAUGGAAUAAACGUUGACACAAGCCCGACCACCUGAGAAAAGCCCAUUCUCUAAAUUUGGCCCAUUUCUGCAAAUUCGUGACUGUGAUUUUUCCAGCCCAAAAACAAUCGCUGGUUAUGUAUCGAAACCAACCAAGGCCGUAGAAGAGCCUUCUUCAACUUUGCGGCAUUUAUGAUCCAACUACGGUGACUUGUACCUUGAUGAAUGAACUGCAUUGCGGUAUUUAUUUAUUUAUUUAUCAUUCAUGUCAAACUUUUCUGUUUACUUUCUCAUUUUAUUUAAGAAAUUACUUCCUUCGAUAAGUACAAGUACUAGAUUAAUGAACAUAUAUGAGUGAUUUUCUAAUUCGAUUUGAGUUAGUAGUAUUAUCCAAAAGGACAACAAAAUCGAUUUGAAAGCUGUAAAUAAUUAAUUUGCCCGUGUUUGUGUCUACCAAUUAGUAGUACCACAUAAAGGCCCAACAACAACUCAAAAUAGCUGAACAUAGCUCAUAUGAUGGUGUUGGAGUUAGCGGCGGCAUCCGGUAUUGGAUUAGAUGGGAGUCAAAUUAUCAACUGUCUUAACUUCAUGUCUUGCUAUUACCCAAAAAAAAAAAAAAACUAUGUUUUCGGAGUCGGAGACUCAAUCGCGUUUAGGAUUAAGGGUCAAUAGAUUCGAUCGAAUUUGAUCUGGAGUUGAAUCGAAUAACAUCAUAUAUAUAUAUGUCAUAUAUAUAUAUAUAUAUAUAUACCCAUUGUGACAGCCCCACAUUCCCCUAAGGCGAACCAAAGGGGUUAGCGGACUGCCUGCCCAACUCUCGCCAGAACUAACGGUUCAGUUUAAAGCGAUCUAAUACGUUCCGAAAUAUACAAACGCGCGAAAACAAGUCAAAAUUACAAAAUAAAAAAAAAUGAACAUGGAGUCGGCCAUGAAUAGUAACCGACACGUCAAAAUCCAACCAAGCAUCAAUCAAAUAUAUGUACAUCUUGAAAUUAAGCAUAUACAAUCCAAAGUGGCAUACAAAAGUAUUCAAAAGUUGAUACAUAUACGGUUUGCCAAAUCAAAAGAGAAACGGACCUAAAAGUACAUUUAGGAUUUCAAUCAAUGAACUAUACAAAAGAUAUGUCCAUCUAACUCAAUUCGGCAACCAACUAUCAAAUCCAAUCCAAAAAGAUUUAUUUUCCUGUAAGGAAAACAAAAGGAACAGAAAGGGGUGAGCUUGCGCUCAAUGAGGUACCAGACAUAUAGCAGUAAAAUCAUGGCAUUUCACAUUUAACAAAGCAGGUACACCUACCAGAUGUAAAGUAAAGGAACCAAUGAUUUAAAUAGGAAGGAUACAGGUGACUCUCAGGAGCCAAAUUCCCAUUUGCGUCACCGAAACUCGAUCGAAAUAAUAGUUGACACUCCGUCAACGCUAAAGGAGUAACCAAUACCGUAGACUCCACUUUCCCCGAUUCCUUCCACCUCACAUACCCCUACUGGGCCCGAAAUCCAAUCAGAUCAGAAAUGAUAAUACUCGAAUAUACCGGAAUCAAGGGUCUCAAUACCCAAAGAUCCCAAAACAGACUACCGUGGUUCGUUAUCUAAAUGACCAGGCCCUUGCCGGCCCGACUCGAGUAACUGGCCACAGGUGUUGAGCUCAGAGGUCACAGAAAGGUCGUUGGAUACCAGUUUCCAAACGACAUCAGAACAGAUACAGAUAACAGAUUCAGAUUCCCACCAAAAUUUGGCAUAUGAACAGACAAGAGAACGAGUGUGAUAAAGUACACCCUCGUCUCAAUCAAAAUAACCAGAUAGUUCAGUAAUUCAUAUCACAGAUUGCAUGUACAGAAAUCGAGUUAAACAACAAGUGAGGGGGAGUGGUACACUCACCGGUUCAAGUACGGAUACUUCACAAAUUUUCACUUCAGAUUGGCUUUAAUCGCCAAGAAACCCUAAAAGAAUCAAAGUAAAACAAUUGAAGGUUCUACUUCCAAAAUCGAGUAUACAGAAUGCACAUGUGAGACUCGACUACACGUCGUACGCCUUUCCAUGGUAAGUACUAGUACAAAAGAAUAAAAUAUGACUUUCAAAAGGCAACUCAAACCUAAAGAGACUAAGCGGACUAGAAAAUUGGACAGCAUUUCUCCUACAUUUGUUUACUUUUUCAGCCGUCAUGGCUUCAUUAUUUUCCUCAACCAGUCCCAAAGUCAUACACAAAAUAAGUUCAUCCAAUAGCCGUUCAGUAAGUUCCAAGUAGUACAAGUACAAUUCAAGUUAGGAAAAAGUCCGGAAAUGAAAAUCAAGCCCUAAAAUAUUCAAAUAAGCACAAUAAGACUCGAUUACAAGUCAUAAACCAAUGCCAAAUACCACUAAAAUAAGGUUCCACUAGAAUGCAUAAACACUAGGGUAAACCAGGAAAAUCCGGAAAUGGAAUAAAUUCUAACAAAAAAAAAACAGUUUUUGACAUCAUUUUGCAGUUUUGGCACCAUUGACACUACACUUAUCGGAUGGAGGUGAAAGAUACACCGUUUCAAAGCUAAGAGAUAGGGCUACAAUGUUCAAGAAGACUACUCUGCCCAGUUUCGAGUGUAACCAGGUAAAAAAUGCAAGAUACGAAACCAGAACCGCAAAAACAGGUUCACAAACCGCAUUCUGGUUCAAACAUCAUAAGUCAGGCUACCUAAGUCCAAAUCAAGUGAUUCCAAAGCCAUCCGAAAGCUAAGAUACAUGGCUACAAUCCAUCAGAAGAUCUCAACAACCAAUUCCGAAGUAUUCCCAACCAAAAUAACCAAUUACAGACGCAAUUAUCAAAUUCGGGUAGAACCAGAGCAGCAGGGGUAUUUCAAUCUUUUCUCAAGUUACGUUACUCCGAUUGACCUGAAAUUUUGCUGGCAUCUCUAAAAUAUCAUUCCCUACAACUUUCAUGUUUUAACCCAAGGCCAAUUCGGUCUCUAACUAUGAGAUACAGUGCCGGGCAGAAUGUAGGACAUGAAAUCCUAGUUUUCCAAUUUUCCUUCCAAAACAGAUAUUUCCUGCAAUUAACCACUUUUUCACCUUCUAGCUUCCUUAAAUAUCAUUUUCAAUCAUCAUACAUGACCAUAUAAUAAUAAUCAUAUGAAAACAGAAAAAUCACCAAUAAUUAUAAAACUUCACCAAUUCAACCAAUAUCAAGAUAUAAUCCAUAAAAUUACAUCUUAAACUACCACCAAUCAUGAAUUAAACAUCAUUAGAUAGAGGAGAGGGGUUCCUUCACAACUCACCUUAGCAACACAAGAGAGAGAGCAACUAGUCACCUUAGCUUUCCAAACAACUUCACCAAUCACCUCACCAACACUAAGUGAAGAGGUUUUAUGGAACAAAAUCAAGUUUAAGUGGUUGUUUUGAUGGAUUUGAGCUAAAUGGAAGCAAGAACUUGGAGAGUUUUCUUUCUUUCUUUCUUGGAGAGGGAUUCGGCCAAGAAGCUUGCAAAAUUGAAGUAAUUUUGGUCAAUUUUUAGUUUAAAUGGUAAAGUCAUGAAUAGUGGUCCAAAAGGUCAAAAGGUAAGAAUGACUCUUCAAGUGACACUUGUCACUUCAUUUAAUACAUCUCUAUCCUUUUGUCUCUCUAAUAAUAAUCAAUCUAAAUAACUUCUAAUUAUCUCUUAAUACCUACUAAAAGAAACCCGGUAUCCAACACUUAACCUAAUUGACCGAAUUUUACCGAACUUUCCGCACUAACGAGUCCCACGUCUGGUAUACGCUCUUAAUUUCUCAAAACCUAACCGAUACUAGAAAAAUCACCUGGGAGACUUGUGGCAACUGCUCCUAGCUAGGAGCAGCAAGGGUCAGCCGCCCAAAUCCGAGACAUGAGUGAGUGCAACACUUGUUCCCAUGAUGACGCUGCUCUCAAACACUCACUGCAAUAUUGCACCGAGUUAUCUACAGAAGUCAUUUGGGAAAACAUCCAAAGUAGCGACUUAACGUUUUCGAGGAUUCAGAGGAAAGCCUCAAAACCUUAACUCAGAUUCUACUAUUUCGGAUAAAAAACUCUCGGUCAACUCUCCUCAUAAACUAAACAAUAGCAUACUGUCAUAUGUUAUACUCAAACUAUAGGGUAUUGGAAUCCAUAGGGUUGACAUUUAAAUAACAAUAAAUCCUUCCAGUAACAAAUUAAACGCACAAAAUAUAUCCAUCCAUAGGGUUAUUAGUUUAUUAUUGCAGUGAGACUGGUGCAAGAAAAUGCGGCUAAUUCCCAGCUUACUCCAGCUUCCUCCAGGAUUCUACCAAUUUGGCCAAUGCCACAAUGGAUGAGCCCCCAUCAGCCAUUGCUUGCUUUGCUUCCUCCUCCUUUGCCUGGGCUGUUUCCCUGAUCACCUUUCCUUCCUCCGAAUCCAUCAACCCCCUAACUCGCUUCUCGAUUUCAGCCGCUUUCACGAACCCACCUUCCGUACUUUCAUCCAUUGGUAAGGCCAACUUCAUCUCCUCAACUAAGAACAGCCUAUUCAGCUUCUGCCCAGCAUAAAGUGGCCACCCCACCAUAGGCACACCCGCACGGACUGCUUCCAACACUGAGUUCCACCCACAGUGGGUCACAAACCCACCCACCGACCCAUGAUUCAACACAUCCACCUGCGGUGCCCAAGAACUCACCACGAAACCCCUACCAUUUGUCCGGUCCAAAAACCCAUGGGGAAGCAACAAAUCCAGAUCUGGGGCGGGUGGAGUUUGAAAGCGGUUGGUUUUGUCCUCAGAAGGCGGACUGCGCACCACCCACAGGAACUUUUGCUCGCUCCUCUCCAACCCGAUGACUAUCUCUUUCAGUUGCUCAGCUGGAAAUCGACCCACGCUCCCAAAGCACAAGAAUACAACGCUUCGACUUGGUUGCAUAUCCAGCCAUUUCAAACAUUCAUGCACACCUCCUCCCGUUCCACCUGCUGCACCUCCACCUUUCCCGUUGUCUGAUGC